GAUGAACGCUGGCGGCGUGCCUAAUACAUGCAAGUCGAGCGAAUGGAUUAAGAGCUUGCUCUUAUGAAGUUAGCGGCGGACGGGUGAGUAACACGUGGGUAACCUGCCCAUAAGACUGGGAUAACUCCGGGAAACCGGGGCUAAUACCGGAUAACAUUUUGAACCGCAUGGUUCGAAAUUGAAAGGCGGCUUCGGCUGUCACUUAUGGAUGGACCCGCGUCGCAUUAGCUAGUUGGUGAGGUAACGGCUCACCAAGGCAACGAUGCGUAGCCGACCUGGGAGGGUGAUCGGCCACACUGGGACUGAAACACGGCACAGACUCCUACGGGAGGCAGCAGUAGGGAAUCUUCCGAAAUGGACGAAAGUCUGACGGAGCAACGCCGCGUGAGUGAUGAAGGCUUUCGGGUCGUAAAACUCUGUUGUUAGGGAAGAACAAGUGCUAGUUGAAUAAGCUGGCACCUUGACGGUACCUAACCAGAAAGCCACGGCUAACUACGUGCCAGCCGCCGCCGUAA
rnacentral:rRNA from 1 species